rnacentral:lncRNA from 1 species
GAACAGAUAACCCUUUUUGUUAAGGUAAAUAGAAACCAGGGUUUCCAUGGGCCAUCAACGCAUGUCAAGUCAAAAGCUCUUUCUGCUCUGAAAUAUACAGUCCGUUCCCUUUUUGCUACAGCUCUACGUAAGAGACAUGGAACUCAUUUGGAUGCAGUUCAAAUAACAAUGUCACUUUCUGACUGCCUCAAGGAUCUGACAGGAGGAAUUGAGUAUGCUGCCAAGAUAUUAAAUGAAAUUCCCCAGAAAGACAUUCAGUGCACUAAAAGAGCCUCAAAGGCAGAAAGGGAAGGAAAUGGGCAAGAAGCUGGAAUAGCUGAAAUGGUUCACAGACUCCAAUCCAAGUGUACAGGU